CCAUAGCGUAUAUUAAAGUUGUUGCAGUUAAAAAGCUCGUAGUUGGAUUUCUGGUGGGAGCGAUCGGUCUGGCGCUUAGCGCGAGUACUUGCAUCGUCUCCGGCCAUCCUUGGGGAAAGUCUGUCUGGCAUUAAGUUGUCGGGCAGAGGAUCCUCAUCGUUUACUGUGAAAAAAUUAGAGUGUUCAAAGCAGGCUUAUGCCGUUGAAUAUAUUAGCAUGGAAUAAUAAGAUAGGACUUUGGUACUAUUUUGUUGGUUUGCGCACCAAAGUAAUGAUUAAUAGGGACAGUUGGGGGUAUUCGUAUUCCGUUGUCAGAGGUGAAAUUCUUGGAUUUACGGAAGACGAACUACUGCGAAAGCAUUUACCAAGGAUGUUUUCAUUAA
rnacentral:rRNA from 1 species